UUUACAGUUAAAUUGUGCAGUUCUUGCAGCUGAUAUUGCUUUACCUUGUGGUUACAGAUAGAGAAGUGCCCUCUCCAGUUGAGAGGACAGGCUACCCUUGUUCAAGGACCUCAGAGCUGUUCUUGUGGCUUUCACAAGGCAAGGGAGCAUGCUAGGGCUUUAUCAUCUGGGGGUGUGCAACCUCAAUCCAGUCAGUCCACAGCAGGACUGACCGGAUCCACAGCCACUGCAUGCACAGCUGGUCCAUCAACGGGAGCAAGUCCUGUAAAAAAGACCAAACUGGUUUUGUCCAUGUUUGAAAGAUCGAGGUUUGGCUCCCACGUUCACACGCCAAAACCAAACCUCAAUGUCCAGAGAAAAAACGUUCCUCGGACACAAAGUAACCCUGGCUCUGCUGCUGCCACCACUUCCCAAUCUCCAUCUUCAUACAACCCUCCAUCUCCUCACCAUUCCCCAUCACCUCGCCAUUCCCCAUCUCCUCACCAUUCCCCAUCUCCUCACCAUUCCCCAUCUCCUCACCAUUCCCCAUCUCCUCACCAUUCCCCAUCUCCUCACCAUCCCCCAUCUCCUCGCCCUCGUACCCCUGUGUGCCCAUCCCCAUCUGACUUUUUCCUAGCUCCACCACCAGCUGUGAAAAGACCAGCCCCAGU